UUUCAGCAAGAUGGUGAAACGAUGCGCCUAUGGCACCUGCAAGCUUAUAUACUGUCUAUGCCUGCAAGUCUGACACCAGGUACCCCAAAAGUUUAGAGGGAGGGGACGUUUUUUUUCACCUUUCCAAAGCCCAAGACCCAAGCGGAAAGAUGCCGACAAUGGAUUAAGCAAUGUGGGAGACCUCACUCACAGCUAAAUGCCUCGAAGAUUAAUAAUCAUAGCUAGCUACAUAUGUCUGCUCCAAGAUUGGCUGCAUUCACCAGCUGUUUCUUCCAACAUCUGUGGUGAUUUAUGGAUGUUUGUUCAAGCUUCAGGCAAGAUGCCAUCUGAAGGAAUAAUGUAGCAAGCUAGCAGCGAUGGAGGGAGGAGAUAACUUCUGGUUCUGACAACAAGCAACAAGUGCAGAGGGAUAUAACAUGACAUGGAUAUUGACAAACGCACCUCCAUAAAACGGCCAGACAGAGGCUGUACCCUCCCUUGCGGCACCACAACCACCUUGUGAGGAGACGCGAUGACCAUGAAAUCCUUAUCUUCCUCACAUCAGCACUAGCAUAUAUUGCUACACAGCAGCAAGGCUGCUACAGUAAAGUUACAUGGUGGAGAGGAAAGUCGUGUGGCUCAGGCGCUAGCUGUUUGCCGACACCUGGAAGCUGCUUGACAUCCUCCUCAAUCCAUCUUGUUCAUAUAUGUUCUCAUUCUAUGUAUCAUGUUGUCAUAUCAUAUGGAUUAACUAUAUUGUAAUGUUAUUACUGUAUAUUAGGCUAUUCUGUACACACGAAUAUAUUGCACUUCUGUCCGUCCUGGGAGAGGGGUCCCUCCUCAGUUGCUCUUCCUGAGGUUUCUUCUACUUUUUCCUCUGUUGAAGAGGUUUGUUUGGGGAAUUUUUCCUUAUCUGAAGCAAAGGUCGAAAAGGACAGGGGGUGUCGUGAGCUAUACAGAUUGUAAAGCCCCCUGUGGCAAGUUUGUGAUAUUGGGCUAUAUAAAUAAAAUUGACUUGACUUGAAAAACAAUGCACGCUAACAAUAGUCACUAUUUAUUGUAUGUUAUACAAGCAGUCUAGUCUCCUGAUCAUUCACAGACAUCAU